GCUCAGAUUCUGGGGACACCUCCUCUGAGCCACACCCAUGCUGAAUAAACCUUGCUGAAUAAAUAUUCCACAUCUCCGAGUGCCACUUGUCUCUUUUUGCUGCCACGGUUUCUGCAACAUUUUCUCCAUGAAGUAGGUCCUGCCCAUCGGUAACAAGAAUCAGAGAAUUAGCUUGGCCAAUCAGAAGCUGUCUCUUGGGAGUUUGAACAGAAGGAUAAUAAUGAGAGAAGCAUCAUCACUAAGCACCAAGAGAAGAAGCAGAGGAAGACAAUAUCUUUAUGGCAGCAUCAUGUAGACUGUUCUGGGCCUGAGAAAGUGAAGAGCGUCACCACCUAAAAAGCAAAGUAAAUUAAUUCCACGGUGUUAAAACUAAUUACAAGUAAACCCGAGAGAGCCAACGAUGGGAAUAAUGUGAAAUCCAGGAUUUGCUUCAGGAAGGGUCCACGGCGGAGAGGAGCCAGCAGCAAGGGUGGAAAUAAAAAGUAGAGCCCAAUCUGGACUGUCAGAAGUGUAAGACUCAUCCUAAACUGAAGAAGGAGCCAACAAACGUUGAAAGAAGACAGAGUGGGGCAUGAGCCUGGGGAUGCUAGCGGGAUCCUCUGGAGGACAGCCCGGAGAUGCAGGGACCAGACACAAGCCCACACAUCUGGAAGUCACUGCAGUGAUGUGAUCUAGAACAGAGGCUAAGAGCUUGGAGAGGAGCGACAGAGGCCAAGGUCAGGUGAGAGGUCUACCGACUAGAAGAGGGAGAGGAAGUCAGGACAAUGGACAGGGUCACGGCAGCGCGCCUGAGGCGUCUGGGGCGCAUCUUGCUUAUUAAACAGUGAUGCAAGGACCUGGCUAUUUCUGCCAGAAGCUCCGUGGGUGAGUCCACCAAACUGCUGGGGUGGAGAACCACUGACGUUUGGGGCCAAGGUGGCUGAAGUGGGCUCUGAACUGAGGCAAAGAGCAGGGAAGAAGAGGUCAUUGGAGGAAGCCUGCUGGGCUGAGUUUGCAGUGCCUCCAGCACGUCCUUCUGGAGAGGUUGGUUCAUCCACACCUGUUCAUCCACAAGAGUGGAGGAGCCACCUUCACCAGGAAGAGCUUCUGUCAAGGUAGAGAUGGCAUCUGUCCUAGGAAGCUCAGGCUGCUGUGAAAAAAUACCAGACACCAAGUGGCUUAAAAAGCAGGCAUCUCUUUCCUUAGAGUCCUGAGGCCCUGCAGUUCAAGAUCAAGAUGUGCUCAUAGCUGCUGUCUACGGAGACCCCUCUCCCUGGCUUGCGGGCGGUGAUUUCUUGCUGUGCCCUCACGUGCCCGCAUUCCUGGCGUCUCUUUUUGUCCUAAUCUCCCCUUCUUAUGAGGACAUCCUUCGGAUCAGAUUAGGGCCCACCCUGAUGGCCUCAUUUUAGCUUAAUCGUGUUCUUAAAGGUCUUAUCUCUAAAUACAGUCCAUUCUGAGAUACCAGGUGUUGAAGUGGGGAGGCAUAUAAUUCAGCUGUAAAAGCAUCUUCGUGGUGAUGGGCAAAUGUCAGCUUUGCCCAUUGAGCCCUGAAGGAACCACCGGUCCACAGGUCCCAUCUGAUAAGGAGACCUUCUAGUUUGGGGGCGAGGGGGUGGGUCUUGCUGGGUUAACCUCCCUGUAGCCCACCUCCCCCAGACCAUGGAUGGAUCGAUGCUUGCUGUGUGUCUGAUGAACCAUCUCAUUUCAUCCUCACACCAGCCAGCAUGCACUAUCUGGCAUCACUCUCUCUGUUUCUAAGAUGAAAACAGGUUUGGCAUGAAGGUGUGACCUGCUAGAGGUCCCCCUGCGGGGAGACCUUGACCUUGGUUCAUCUGGACUCUCCAGAGCCCAUGACCUUAACCCCGUACCGUACAGCUUCUCCUCGAAUUAUUUGAACCAGAAUUUCUUUGGCUUAGAAACAUCUCUGAUUCUUUUAGAACUAAAAGUUCUUAAGAAUUCACAGGUCAAGAAGGUGACCUUCCGUCAAAGGUUUCAAACUGUUUCUUAUCCCUGUGACUCUGAAAACCCUUCACAAUGUCGUAGAUGUGACGAUGGGUGGCUGGGACGUUCUCUGGUUGGCCUCACAGCAGGAUCAUUCCCGGUCUUCUCAGGAGCCCCAACAGCAGGAGAGAGAAGCAAAGGAGAGAUAAUGGCCCCAGGGGCGGCACGGAAAAGAGGCGGCAAUGACCGGGGAAGGGUAUUUUGAUUUCUGUCUCCCAGCAACACCCAGGGGACUGUUCCAGAGAAUGAACUGAGGACCCAGAAGAGCCUGGGAUCGAGGCUGUGGAAGGUGGAGGAGUCUGCUGAGCUUGAAGAUAAGCACAGACCACUGUCUUCUUUCCAAGUCACCAGGAGGUCUGGGUCUCGAGCCACCAGAUCCCCAGUGACCCAGGCUCCCAGAUCCUGUAUCCUACACCACCUGGGUCCUUGCGCCACAAUGGACCACCCAGCACGGAUGUUGGAAAGUUGGAGAUCGUGAGAGGCAUAAUCAUUAACCUGGACGGAAUGUUUGGAGGUUCCCGAGUUGAAACAACUCAGGUGGAACCACGAGAGCUGUCAGAGGAGAAGGGACUCAUUGGGAAGGGCUGAGCUGACCCUGGCACCAGGCAGACUCAGGAUGGGCGAGGGUGUCUGGCCACUGCUGGGGCAGAACUGCUAUAAACAAGCUGUGCCUGUCAUGUCUUCUCUUUAGCUUCUCCAGAUAACGACGCCUAAUGUUUCACCUUGACCGUCUGCAGCACAUUGACAAGAAGCCUGCUGAGGAGCUAGUAUUUAUUAUUUCAAUGAGUGAUGGCGUAAUAACAUUAUAGUUUUGUUCAUUGUCUCUGUAUGAAAAGUGAGGGGAAAUGAGGAUGGGAAGGCUUGUCACUUCCAGAUGACACAAGGACAGGCUGGAGUACAGGCUCAGCUUUUCUCCACGAUGCACCCAGGAGGCUCAGCCUAUGCUCCAGAAAAGACCUUACCAGAGAGGGGGUCAAGUUCGUCCCUUGUCCCACCCCCUACGCUUGACAGAGCUCAGUACAUAGUACCCAGCAAAUUGCAAUCGGUAUGAAAGCAGCACCUCGCCUGGCGCAUGAGGUCAAGUCCAAGGAUGCCAGAAGGGA
rnacentral:lncRNA from 1 species